ACACUUACCUGGCAGGGAGACUCCAUGGCUGUGAAGGUGGUUUUCCCAGGGCAAGGUUUAUCCUUCAGGUGUGCUGACACCUACAGCUUCCUCACGUGAGGGAAACUUGACCGCAUAGUUUGCAGUAGUGGGGUACUGCAUUCAUGCUCUUCCCUU